GGGGGGGGGGGGGCAGAUUUUUUAGUUCCCAUGUGCCUCCCAACUACCCCACCUAACCUCCUUCCCCACCACUCAUUUCACUCAUCUUAUCUCCUCUUUGGCUAGCUCACUUACUUCAUUUUUUUGCUUUCUUUUUUCAUUUCCUCUCAACACAACACAAACAUUUCUCUCAUACUCCCUCAUCCUCUCCCAUGGUACCCACUCCAAAUCAACAUCUCCACCAUCAUUUUUCCAACAAGAUCACCGGAAAAUUGUUUAGAACCCAUAAGCACCUUCACAUCCUUUUUUGGAGGUUCUAGCUAAUCUCCUUGGAGCUUGAAGAAGUAGGCUUUUGCGGUUGCGAGUGAUCACCCAAUUUGGUUUCGUAGUCUUUGUGACAACAGAAUCAAAUCCAGGUCAGUGCCCUUUCACUUUGGAUGAUAUGUUCUUCCCUACUGCCCAUGGGGAAAAGAGGUUCCUUGAUUGUGUAUGGGUGAGGUUGCUGCCCAUGGGGCCAAGACCACAUGCAAGAAAAGUCCUAUUUAACACGCUCUCUCUGCUGCCCAUGGUGGGAGAGAAAAACCUUGAGAGUAUGGGUGAGGCUGCUGUCUAUGGGGCCAAGAUUCUGCAUACUAGAGAGGACAAUAUCAUGCCAGUUGUGAAUGGGUGGAUCCCCUAACUGGUCUAUAUGGUAGUAUGGUAUAUUUGUGAUAAUUUAUCUUAUGUCAGAUAUUAAGGCUUUGGAAAUUAUAUUAUUGAUGC